rnacentral:rRNA from 1 species
CCUACGUGAGGCAGCAGUGAGGCAUAUUGGUCACUGGGCGGAAGCCUGAACCAGCCAAGUAGCGUGCAGGAUGACGGCCCUAUGGGUUGUAAACUGCUUUUAUUCGGGAAUAACGCGCCUUACGUGUAGGGCUUUGCAUGUACCGUAUGAAUAAGGACCGGCUAAUUCCGUGCCAGCAGCCGCGGUAAUACGGAAGGUACGGGCGUUAUCCGGAUUUAUUGGGGUUAAAGGGAGCGUAGGCCGCAUGUCAAGCGUGCUGUGAAAUGGCCGGGCUCAACCCGGGCCUUGAAGCGCGAACUGGCGGGCUUGAGUCCGCGGAAAGCAGGCGGAAUUCGUCGUGUAGCGGUGAAAUGCUUAGAUAUGACGAAGAACCCCGAGUGCGAAGGCAGCUUGCUGCAGCGGAACUGACGCUGAUGCUCGAAAGCGCGGGUAUCGAACAGGAUUAGAUACCCCGGUAGUC